GAUCUGUCUAGCAGAGGGGAAAAGAUUUAAAGUGAAAUAAAGUUCACCUGAUACACUUUGAAGAAACCAGAUGCUAGAAAUGUUCAGAUGUUUGUUAAAUGCAGCAUUAAAUGAGACUGAGAGCAGACAUGUUGAGGGAAAUGUGCAUCAGUGUGAUCUCUGCUGAUGUUGGUUCUGUCCCACUGAUUCCAUUCUAGGGAAUGUUAACUGUCAGGGAUUUACAGCCUGAUGGGAGCUUCUGCUUUCAUGAAGAACAGGGUGGAGUCCUGACUGGUUCCAGGAAACAGAUCACCUGUCAGAGCGUCCAGGAGUGGACUGGAAACUUUCUUCUUCUUCUUCAGUGUUUGAAUAAAGUGUGAAGGCAGAAAGUGUGUGUGAGCUGCUGUGAGUUGAGCAUCAUGGAUGAGUGUGAGGACAGAGAGGAGGGAGUCCCUCCCUCUAAAAGCUCUCUGUGUGGGGAACAGGAGAACCAGAGCAAAGCUCAGAGGUGAGAGCACCAUCUCUAACUGUCCAGGACUCUGCUGCAUGUCAGAGCUCAGCAUCACAUCACUGCUGCAUCAUUAUUGACAGGAAUCCACCUGGACCUGGACCUGGACCUGGACCUGCAUCCAGCUGUGUGUCCUUCAAGAGUGAC